ACCUGAGAUAGCUCAGUUGGUGGAGCAUGAAACUCUUCUUCUCUGGGUCGUGGGUUCGAGCCCCGCAUUAGGGG